CCUACGGGUGGCUGCAGUGGGGAAUAUUGGACAAUGGGCGAAAGCCUGAUCCAGCCAUGCCGCGUGUGUGAAGAAGGCCUUCGGGUUGUAAAGCACUUUCAGUGGGGAAGAAAGCCUUGGGGCUAAUACCCUCGAGGAAGGAAAUCACCCACAGAAGAAGCACCGGCUAACUCCGUGCCAGCAGCCGCGGUAAUACGGAGGGUGCGAGCGUUAAUCGGAAUUACUGGGCGUAAAGCGCGCGUAGGCGGUCUGAUAAGCCGGUUGUGAAAGCCCCGGGCUCAACCUGGGAACGGCAUCCGGAACUGUCAGGCUAGAGUGCAGGAGAGGAAGGUAGAAUUCCCGGUGUAGCGGUGAAAUGCGUAGAGAUCGGGAGGAAUACCAGUGGCGAAGGCGGCCUUCUGGACUGACACUGACGCUGAGGUGCGAAAGCGUGGGUAGCAAACAGGAUUAGAUACCCCUGUAGUC
rnacentral:rRNA from 1 species